CUAAUUCCUAAACUGUUGGGACCAAAACUCCAAAAAUCAAGCCCAACCUUUCUUUUGUGGUCAUAAACCUUGUGUUAAAAUUUCAUAGAUUUCUAUUUACUUAUACUAAAGUUAUUGUGCAAAAACCAAGAAAAAUGCUUAUUUGGGACCUUUUUUUGGCCCCUAAUUCCUAAACUGUUUGGACCAAAACUCCCAAAAUCAAUCCCAAUCUUCCUUUUGUGGUCAUAAACCUUAUAUUAAAAUUUAAUAGAUAUCUGUUUACUUAUACUAAAGUUAUUGUGCGAAAACCAAAAAAAAUGCUUAUUUGGGCCCUUUUUGGCCCCUAAUUCCUAAACUUUUGGACCUAAAAAUCCUGAAAUGAAUCCCAACCUUCCUUGUAUGGUCAUAAACCUUGUGUUUGAAUUUCAUAGAUUUCUAUCUACUUAUACUAAAAAGUUAU
rnacentral:lncRNA from 1 species